AAGUCUCGUUGGUGACCAGCGGAGGGAUCAUUACCGAGUUUACAACUCCCAAACCCCUGUGAACAUACCACUUGUUGCCUCGGCGGAUCAGCCCGCUCCCGGUAAAACGGGACGGCCCGCCAGAGGACCCCUAAACUCUGUUUCUAUAUGUAACUUCUGAGUAAAACCAUAAAUAAAUCAAAACUUUCAACAACGGAUCUCUUGGUUCUGGCAUCGAUGAAGAACGCAGCAAAAUGCGAUAAGUAAUGUGAAUUGCAGAAUUCAGUGAAUCAUCGAAUCUUUGAACGCACAUUGCGCCCGCCAGUAUUCUGGCGGGCAUGCCUGUUCGAGCGUCAUUUCAACCCUCAAGCACAGCUUGGUGUUGGGACUCGCGUUAAUUCGCGUUCCUCAAAUUGAUUGGCGGUCACGUCGAGCUUCCUUAGCGUAGUAGUAAAACCCUCGUUACUGGUAAUCGUCGCGGCCACGCCGUUAAACCCCAACUUCUGAAUGUUGACCUCGGAUCAGGUAGGA
rnacentral:rRNA from 1 species